rnacentral:rRNA from 1 species
UGGGCAACCUGCCCUCAGCUCUGGGAUAACUCCGGGAAACCGGGGCUAAUACCGGAUACGACCUUCUCUGGCAUCAGGGGUGGUGGAAAGUUCUUCGGCUGAGGAUGGGCCCGCGGCCUAUCAGCUUGUUGGUGGGGUCACGGCCCACCAAGGCGACGACGGGUAGCCGGCCUGAGAGGGCGACCGGCCACACUGGGACUGAGAUACGGUCCAGAUUCCUACGGGAGGCA